rnacentral:rRNA from 1 species
CCUACGGGGGACUGCAGUGAGGAAUAUUGGUCAAUGGCCGCAGGGCUGAACCAGCCAAGUCGCGUGAGGGAUGACGGUCCUAUGGAUUGUAAACCUCUUUUGUCAGGGAGCAAAGGGCGCCACGUGUGGCGCUUUGCGAGUACCUGAAGAAAAAGCAUCGGCUAACUCCGUGCCAGCAGCCGCGGUAAUACGGAGGAUGCGAGCGUUAUCCGGAUUUAUUGGGUUUAAAGGGUGCGCAGGCGGAAUGUCAAGUCAGCGGUAAAAUUUCGGGGCUCAACCCCGUCGUGCCGUUGAAACUGGCGUUCUUGAGUGAGCGAGAAGUAUGCGGAAUGCGUGGUGUAGCGGUGAAAUGCAUAGAUAUCACGCAGAACUCCGAUUGCGAAGGCAGCAUACCGGCGCUCAACUGACGCUCAUGCACGAAAGCGUGGGUAUCGAACAGGAUUAGAUACCCUAGUAGUC